rnacentral:rRNA from 1 species
GACGAACGCUGGCGGCGUGCUUAACACAUGCAAGUCGAGCGGAAAGGCCCCUUCGGGGGUACUCGAGCGGCGAACGGGUGAGUAACACGUGAGUAAUCUGCCCUUGGCUUCGGGAUAGCCACCGGAAACGGUGAUUAAUACCGGAUAUGACCACUUCCUGCAUGGGAUGGUGGUGGAAAGUUUUUUCGGCCAGGGAUGUGCUCGCGGCCUAUCAGCUUGAUGGUGAGGUAAAGGCUCACCAUGGCUUCGACGGGUAGCCGGCCUGAGAGGGUGACCGGUCACACUGGGACUGAGACACGGCCCAGACUCCUACGGGAGGCAGCAGUGGGGAAUAUUGGACAAUGGGCGGAAGCCUGAUCCAGCAACGCCGCGUGAGGGAUGACGGCCUUCGGGUUGUAAACCUCUUUCAGCAGGGACGAAGCGCAAGUGACGGUACCUGCAGAAGAAGCACCGGCCAACUACGUGCCAGCCGCCGCAGUAAGAC